CCCACUAAAGCCAAGUUAAAUGACGUAUUUAUAUAUUGACAGCAUUUUGGAAAGACUCAAAAGUGGAACGUCCAAAUCAAAGAGGAAAAAUAAUUCUCUCCCCUACAAUACUUAUUGCCUUGUAGAGACAACUGGUAAAAGGUAGCAAACCAAUUUCCCAAAAUAGUGCGCAAAAUGCAUGCCUAUGAUUCAACAUUCCAGCUAUAAAAAUUGCAAACAUCAACCACUGUACAAGUGCAGUAAGUUCAACAUGCACAAACCAAUGCAGGGAGUCCCUCGCGACUAAUUUACCUACAGUGGCACAUAAGGGGAAAAACAGAAUGGCCCUCCUAAUCUGCAACAAUCCUACUAAACUAUCAUACAAUCACAACUCACUCUUAGUUCUAAGUACAAACAUCCCUCACUGACGCCUACUAGACUGCACAACACUAUCCCAAACCUCAAAACCAUCAAUUCUUUGGCUUUCUGAUAUGGUUGAUUCAGAAGGAUCAGAUUCAACUCCCUGAGACUUCUUUAAUUUUGCAAUUUGAACCCACAUAUUUGCCAGUUCGUUUUCAAGAUAGGCUUCUCUUUGUUUGGAUUCUUCAACCUUACUCUGUAAUUCAGCUUCUUUAUGAUCCCUUUCCACAAGAGCAGCUUCAUAUGAAAGCUCCCUUUCCCGGCUCAAAGCCAGUUCUCUUUUCAUUUCUGCACUCAAUACAUUUUGCUCAUUUCGUCUCGGAUGAGGAUCUCUUCUUCCAUUUCGCAUGGCAACACUUGGCUUACGCUGGGUAGAGGAACUCUUCUGGGCAGCAAGCUCAGCAGCUAAUUUCUCAUUAUGAUUCAUUAGCUUCGCAACUUCUUCAGAAAGUGCCUUUAAUUCAACCGCUGCUGCAGACGCUAGCCCUUUGGCAUAUGUACUUUCUUCUGCCAAUUUCUGGUUCCGGAGCUCCAGUUGCUCCUUCGCCUCAACCAAUUCCGUCACUCUCUUGUGGAGUUCUUCAAUCUCUCUUGCCUGACAGGAGCAAAAGCAACAAUUCAGUUGACAUAUUGUUGUGGAUGAGGAUGGUGGAUACAUAAUACAAGAAUGUUAACUACAACUUAAUAUGUAUGGGGUACUCCUCAAGUAUUUUGAACAUUUUGUGUGUAAUACAAACAUGUAUGCAUAGAUAUAAAUCUGUAAUCUCUCCAAGUGCCAUAAUGGGACAAUGCCCCCGCCAGUGAAGUGUUCAUAUCUUUUGCCUUUUUCUUUUACAAAAAACAAUAAAUUGUGUUAUUUUGUACAAUACAAUUCUAUUUUUUUAGAAUCUUUUUUCCCCAAAAGGUAAUGAGAAGAAUUCUAGAAUGGAUGCUACCUAUGCCAGGACCACGGAUAAAUGGGAACUUUUUUUAUAAGACCUUCUCAAUUGUAGACAAUAUCUUAUUAUGAGUAAUUCCAACAACUUCAUACAAUUCUUUUCUUUGUGGAAUCUUUUUCAUUCCUAGGAAUAUUUGUAAUAAAUGGUCCUUCAUAUUUAUUCAUUGAUGAAGUUAUCAAUCUAAAAUGCUAUUUUUCCCCACCCUGCAUUGAAUGUAAUUUCUGGAAUAAUAAUGACAGAUCUAUUCCUUCCUUGCACUGUAACAAUGCUUAUAAAUCUUCCGAACUUGUGUUUUCUCAAACAAAAGAAGAUUGCCUGUUGCUUGCGUAAUUACCACCUUCUCAUAUGAGAUGAUUUAUAAGCAAAUUGUAGAAGGACGCCGGAAAUAAAUCAGAGGUCACAGGAGAAAAAAGAUUCACCCCUCGAAAACUGUGCCUGAGAGCUUUUCUACUUUUAAAAUAUAACUUAUUUUGAAUAUGCACAGAGAUCAUGUCACUCUCUUUGGGAUUACACUUAUUAAAAGAAUAGGUUAUUGAAAGAAACAUUUUCUGAAGACAACUUGAGGGCUCUAAAACUGAUCCCAACACAAUCCAUCCCUCUAAUUUCAGAACUCUCUAUUUCAUAUCUUGCCCAAAAAUGAAAUGUUCUAAACCAACCAGAGAAUCUCUCCUUCUGUUCUUGUCUGAAAAAAUGUUCUAAACAAAAUAUUGGAGUACUUGUUCAAAACAUCGAAAAAAUUACUUUAACCCACACAGUAAUGGAGCUCCAUCUUAAGUAGAAAAUGACACAACACAAUCAUCAACUAGAGCACUUAGUUCGCAUUACAAUUUUUUUUAUGACCGUGGUGUCCGGGCCAGCUUUUGUGCACCUCAACUAAUUCCACAGGAUACCUGCCACCUCCCACCAGCCACAGGUACCACCUAACUCUGUCCACCAAGGAUAGGACAGAUGGAAGAAUCACCUAGUGCUUUUUGUCUCCACUAAACCUGAGACCUCAGCGUUCUCAACCACUUCAUUGACCACUAGGCCACACCCUUGGGUGCAGUUCGCAUUACUAUUAAAGAUGAAAGACUUAUUGAAUAUGAAUAUACCGCAAGAACAAGCCAUUCCAUAGGGUAUAUACUUGUGGCAGAAGCUGGAAACUGAGUACAGGCAGCCUCUUCCAGUCGGAAAAUUAAAAUAGCUUAGCCUCAGAGAUUAGGCAUUGCAAAGAUUAGGUAUUGCAAGGAGAAAAAGAUAACAAGCCAAAAGUUGCAUACACAUACACUUAUAUUUAAACAAUAAUAAUGUGAUUAUCAUGGAAUGUUGCAUCAAAAAGAAAUAUGAUUGUCAGCGUAUUUAACAGUAGGUGGCAAACUCAAUAAGAAAUCCUAAAGACAUUUGCAGAAGGUUUUCUAGAUGUGGAGAAACACUUUGCAAACAAAAAUGGGAACAAAAUGUAAAAUGCUGAGAGAAUAUGACCUUAAGCUUGAGGCUGAUUUUAUCCCUGUAGUAAGAUUCUUUUUGUUUCAUCUUUCUCAUUCUAGCAAAUCAUUU
rnacentral:lncRNA from 1 species